rnacentral:tRNA from 1 species
UCGAUGCCGUAGCGCGAGAGGUGGUACUCGUGGCUGCGGCGCAUGCCCGGGCGGGCCAGGACCUGCUCGAGGUUGGACUCCUCCGCGUCGGUCCA